rnacentral:rRNA from 1 species
ACACUCCUACGGGAGGCAGCAGUGGGGAAUUUUGGACAAUGGGCGAAAGCCUGAUCCAGCAAUGCCGCGUGAGUGAAGAAGGCCUUCGGGUUGUAAAGCUCUUUUGUCAGGGAAGAAACGGUGAAAGCUAAUAUCUUUUGCUAAUGACGGUACCUGAAGAAUAAGCACCGGCUAACUACGUGCCAGCAGCCUCGGUAAUACGUAGGGUGCAAGCGUUAAUCGGAAUUACUGGGCGUAAAGCGUGCGCAGGCGGUUUUGUAAGUCUGAUGUGAAAUCCCCGGGCUCAACCUGGGAAUUGCAUUGGAGACUGCAAGGCUAGAAUCUGGCAGAGGGGGGUAGAAUUCCACGUGUAGCAGUGAAAUGCGUAGAUAUGUGGAGGAACACCGAUGGCGAAGGCAGCCCCCUGGGUCAAGAUUGACGCUCAUGCACGAAAGCGUGGGGAGCAAACAGGAUUAGAAACCCUUGUAGUCCA